rnacentral:rRNA from 1 species
GACGAACGCUGGCGGCGUGCCUAAUACAUGCAAGUCGAACGCUUAGUUCCUCCCGAGUGCUUGCACUCAAUAGGAAAGGGGAGGGGCGGACGGGUGAGUAAAACGUGGGUAACCUACCCAACAGAGGGGGAAAACACUUGGAAACAGGGGCUAAUACCGCAUAACAGUUUAUGCCGCAGGGCAUGAGAGUGAAAGGCGCUCUCGGGGGUCGAUGAGGGAUGGAUCCGCGGUGCAUUAGCUAGUUGGUGAGGUAACGGCUCACCAAGGCCACGAUGCGUAGCCGACCUGAGAGGGUGAUCGGCCACACUGGAACUGAGACACGGCCCAGACUCCUACGGGAGGCAGCAGUAGGGAAUCUUCGGCAAUGGGCGAAAGUCUGACCGAGCAACGCCGCGUGAGUGAAGAAGGUUUUCGGAUCGUAAAACUCUGUUGUUAGGGAAGAACAAGUACGUUAGUAACUGUACGUCCCCUGACGGUAUCUAACCAGAAAGCCACGGCUAACUACGUG